rnacentral:rRNA from 1 species
ACACGACUACAUUAGAUACCCGUGUAGUCCUAGCCGUAAACGAUACUCGCUAGGUGUCGGCCACGGUGCGACCGUUGUCGGUGCCGUAGGGAAGCCGUGAAGCGAGCCACCUGGGAAGUACGGCCGCAAGGCUGAAACUUAAGGAAUUGGCGGGGGAGCACCACAACGGGUGGAGCCUGCGGUUUAAUUGGACUCAACGCCGGGAAGCUCACCGGAUAAGACAGCGGAAUGAUUGCCGGGCUGAAGACCCUGCAUGACCAGCUG